GGGGACAUAACUCAGUGGUAGAGCAUUUACUUUGCAUGCAGAUGAUCCCCGGUUCAAUUCCUGGCAUCUCCA